GACGAACGCUGGCGGCGUGCUUAACACAUGCAAGUCGAGCGGGGUCCAACUUGUCGCAAGACAAGGGAAGGCCUAGCGGCGAACGGGUGAGUAACACGUGAGGAACCUGCCCCGAAGACUGGGAUAACACCGGGAAACCGGUGCUAAUACCGGAUACCCACCAGAGAUCGCAUGGUCUUUGGUGGAAAUGGAUUCCGCUUCGGGAGGGCCUCGCGGCCGUAUCAGCUUGUUGGCGGGGUAACGGCCCACCAAGGCGACGACGGGUAGCUGGUCUGAGAGGACGGCCAGCCACAC
rnacentral:rRNA from 1 species